UACAGGGGGUGCAAACGUUGCUCGGAAUCAUUGGGCGUAAAGCGCACGUAGGCGGUCUGUUAUGUCGGAUGUGAAAGCCCUUGGCUCAACUGAGGAAGUGCAUCCGAAACUGGCAGGCUAGAGUACGAAAGAGGAUCGCGGAAUUCCCGGUGUAGAGGUGAAAUGCGCAGAUAUCAGGAGGAACACCAGCGGCGAAGGCGGCAUCCUGGACUGGUCCUGACACUCAUGAGCGAAAGCGUGGGGAGCGAUCCGG
rnacentral:rRNA from 1 species